rnacentral:tRNA from 1 species
GGAGAGGUNGCUCAGAGGUUAAGAGCACUGACUGUUCUUUCAGAGGUCCUGAGUUCAAUUCUCAGCAACUACA